UACGUAGGGUGCGAGCGUUAAUCGGAAUUACUGGGCGUAAAGCGUGCGUAGGCGGUUCCUCAAGUCCGUUGUGAAAGCCCCGGGCUCAACCUGGGAAUGGCAGUGGAAACUGGCGAGCUGGAGUGUGGCAGAGGGGGGUGGAAUUCCGCGUGUAGCAGUGAAAUGCGUAGAGAUGCGGAGGAACACCGAUGGCGAAGGCAGGCCCUGGC
rnacentral:rRNA from 1 species